GGUGUUUUCUUCGCCGGCUGGCGGGAGAGGAGUGGGGAGGACCCGGUUACAGGCUGAGCUCGGCUCUCCUUGUCCAGAGGGUCUGGGCACCGGGGCCGCCAACUCGGGGUGAGGAGUGGGGGCGGGAAACCUGCUUCGGUCUCCAUGGUUACGAGCCGCUCAGCGCGCUGAGGAAGACUCAAAGGAGGCCUUGUUGGUAGAAGGAAUGAAAGAACGCUGGACCAUCUCGACUAUUCCCUGGAUCUGGGACUCCCACCCAAGCCCAGAAGCGAAGAACUCAUCACGGAAACCAAAAUAAGAUUGUUUUAUUCCAA